rnacentral:lncRNA from 1 species
AAGCGGCGCGACACCGGGAGAAAAGGGCAUAGCUCCAUAGAUAGCGCCCUACUACUGAGAUCAGAGAUAGCAGUACCCCAAGUCGGCUUAGCUAGUGGUAUAGAAAGGAAAAGAACAAAGUUGUAAUAAUUUAGUAACUUAACUGUAUUUGGAAGUUAAUGUAAUGUAUAAUGAUAACUGAGAUAAAUGCUUGUAAUAGUUUAGUAUUUAUGUUUUUGAUAUCAUUCUUCUGCAAUCUGUUCUUGAAUAGUGUUCCUGGUUGGAAGCUAGUGUAUUGUAUGGAUUGUGACGCCUAGGACGUACAGGGGAGACUUUAUCCGUUCGGCGGUCUGUUGGCGUGCCC